UCUUGCAAGCUGCACCCCACGGAAUCUCGUAUAAAUUUAACAAGAUUUUUUUUGAAAACUAAUUUAACAAGAAUUAGAGCACCAGGUUCGACUUUACAAGGAGUAUCAGUUGUUUACAAAAAUCUGACUAGAUGUUCAUUCUGUGUAUUGUUUCCGUCAUAAAAAGGAUCCAAAUAUAGCCCCCAACCCCCGAGCGCAAGGACCGGCGGAGCCGUAGAAGCACGCCGACCUGAAAUAGGCGUCCAGUCCCCGAGCACGAGGACUAGCGGAGCCGCGAAGGCAUGUCGACCUAAAGUAGGCACCCAGCCCCCGAGCACGAGGAUUG
rnacentral:lncRNA from 1 species